rnacentral:ncRNA from 1 species
UCACCGGGGGUGCCCUUGCCGGGCUGAGAGAAACCCCAAUACCUGAUCCGGGUCGUGCCGGCGUAGGGAGCGU